rnacentral:rRNA from 1 species
AUUGAACGCUGGCGGCAGGCCUAACACAUGCAAGUCGAGCGGAACGGCUGACGGGUGAGUAAUGCCUAGGUAUCUGCCUGGUAGUGGGGGACAACGUCCGGAGAAGGGCGCUAAUCCCACAUACUCUCAGUUGAGCCUAGGGCGGAUUAGCUAGUUGGGGGGGUAAAGGCCUACCAAGGCGACGAUCCGUAACUGGUCUGAGAGGAUGAUCAGUCACACUGGAACUGAGACACGGUCCAGACGCCGACGGGAGGCAGCAGUGGUGAAUAUUUGACAAGGGGCGAAAGCCUGAUCCAGCCAUGCCGCGUGAGUGAAGAAGGUCUUCGGAUUGUAAAGCACUUGAAGUUGGGAGGCGUUACCAACAGAAUAAGCACCGGCUAACUUCGUGCCAGCAGCCGCGGUAAUUC